CUUGUGCCACGGUGGCCCAAAUGUCAGUCAACCAGACAUGUCUUCUGAGAGGUAAGUUUUUGAAAAAUACUAGACUUUUCUCAAAUGUAUUUCUUUACAGGAAUAAAAAGAAAGCUAAUUUUGCAUGAGCAUGCAGGAAGUCUGCAGACAGACAUUCUACAUAGUCCCUUGGGGACUCAGUAGAAGUGGAAUCAAGACCAACCCAAGCCCAACAAGGCAGCUCCGCUGGUUAAUGCCUCCCAGAUCUGUCAUCUGUGAUAAAGAGCCUCGCUGUAGCUGAGGAGCUGGCCAAGAACCUUUCCCAGUUAGCCAAGUUCGUGAAGAAGUCACAUGUGGUGAAUAUAUUAUCAUCAGAAUGCGGAGCAAUGAAAUGUAAACAGAUAGGAAUCGUCACUAAAGCUCCAACUGCAGCCUCCGGGUGCCAUAGCUUUUGCACCAUCCAUUUGCACCAUCUCUGCAGUAAGUCCUAGCUCAAGCCUUACUCCAAAGUACAAAUUAGCAUAGCAGCUCAGUCAACAAUGCCUCCGAGCUUCUGGAAAGAAAGAUGCUCAGUCACCAUAGACCCAGAAUUAAUGAAAAGUCACAGAAAUAAUAGCUCCAUUCUCUACUUGCUUCUGAACCUCAAAUCAGUGGUUGGCAACAAGUUGCUCUCAAUCACUGCCACGAGUCUGGUGAUGCGCUAAGCUCGGGGCAGGAUCUCAAGGGCUUUGAGGAUGUCUGCAUCAUCUGUAUUGACCUGCUCCCCAGAUUAAUACCGAAGCACUGCAAUUUCUUGAGGAUUAUCCACCUAGGAGGAAAUGAUACGCUGGCCCAUCCAUAGUAGUCAAGAAACAGUCUGAGAUCCAAAAAGUGGCUUAAAAGAGGGAAAAGUUAAUCAAAAUGUCUGUGAAGCUCUGGCUUCAGUCUCUCCAGCGAGGCUUUCUGAAGCACAGCUCUGAUAGAACUAAACCCAAUGAGACACCGCCUACAAGAGGAAUCCAGCGUGUGAACGAAGACUAAAAAGCAAAACAGCAGCGUCUGGAGUGGACAGCUUCUCUCACUCAGAGAACUGUAGCCUCAAAUUCCUGGCAGAGGUUUCUUGGAAGAGAAGAAUGAGAUUGGAUCUGAGAAAAUGUGGCUGGGAACCACCAUCUCAGAUGGUAGAAACCACUCAGAAGGAUCAACUGCUGCAGACGGGAAGAGGAGCAACCUCGUGAAUAAUUUCGUGACAGGAUAUUGCAGGAGGGACUUUGUCCAAAUGUGUGCAGGGUAGUUGGCUACAGCAACAAGGAUGACGAACACAGAUGAAUUGAUCAGGAUGUAACCAUUCAAAGUUGAGAGGAUUAGAGGACUUCUCCGAGGCGGCUCCAAUGGAUGCCAGCAGAGUUAAAGUGUCCAAUGGAGAGAAGAGAAGGCUUGGGAAAUCCAGAGUCCAUUCAUUCAUCGCCCUCCUCCUAGAACAACAAAAGCGAGCCCCAGUACUCAUCAGCAUGGACUCUGUGUGUAGUCAUCUCCCUUAGUUUCAGAGGUUCCUGCCUACAGCAAAACUUUAGAGGCUUAGAGUUUAACGGUCAUAGCUUAUUCACCUCCAACUGUGUCCUAGUUCAAGAGAAACACUUCACAUAUCUGUAGGGAGAAGAUAAUGAACCAAGGAUACAAGUUAAGCCUUAGCUAAGACCUGUUACUCAGGAAAAAGAGCUAAAACAAGCUGCUUAGAUCAGCACCAAUGUUAGGUAGAGAGAAAAAGAAACGCUGCAUAGAAAUCUUAAGGUUCACAUGUGCUCCAGGCUGGGUCAACAACUUCUAAUUUCCUUUGCCAACCAACCAUGUCUUUGACAGAAAUGAUCCUUCUACAUAGACCACAGAGGGAUCCAAUGGAGGUUUCUCUUCCUGAAUUUGGGGAUUCAGAAUCUGGACAAAUUCCUUUCCAUCAAAGUCCAGUACAAAAGUAGUACCAUGGCAGUCCCUGCAGGGACUUGCAUCACUUUCCCUAGAGAUAUCAAGAGAAUUUUUAGUGAUAAGAAUAUGGCACAAAAUGAGAAAUCCCAUUACUCUUAAGAGAAUCUCUUCCUUCUCAAAGGCACCUGAUUAAUACAUAUAGUACUAUCAGUAAGGCUGAGCAAAAGGAUACUGAUGUUCUGAGUGAUCUUAAAUCAUGUAAUAAUAACUUUAUUCGUAGUAUAGAACGGAAUAUUCCCUAUUAGUAAUCAGUUCCUUUGCCAGAUCCUCAUAGUAUCUUAGUCACUGUUUUAUUGUUAUGAAGAGAAACUUUGACCACAGCACCUCUUAGAAAAAAGGAAGCAUUUAAUCGGGACUUCCUUAUGGUUUCACAGUUUUACAUAAUUGUCAACAUGGCAGAGAACAUGGGGGCACGCAAACAGACAUGGUGCUGGAGAAGUAGCGGAGAAUAUACAGCAACAUAUAGAUACAAAAUAUAGAUACAUAUAGAUACAGAAUAUAGAUACAUAUAGCUACAUAUAGAUCUGCAGGCAGCAGGAAGAGACUGGGACAAGGCCAUACCUUCUAAGGCUUCUCAAGGAGUGUCACUUCCUGAUGACCAAGCAUUCAAGUGUAUGAGCUUAUGGGAGCCAUUCUUAUUCAAGCCACCACACAUAGCAAAGCUGAUAAUGUCAUUUUCUGAAUUAACCAGGCCAAGGCACACUUCUUAGCAACAUGGUUACCUGGUAACCAGAGAUUUUUCUCAUCCCAUGAGAGAUUUCAUUCAAGAACUGAUCUUCUAACAGUUUUGUCUCUCUUAAGAAUGCUACAGACAGGGUGGGGUGAGGCACAGUGCUGAAGCCCCUCAAGUUUCCCAGAGGGAUGAGUCCAUGAAAGACGAAAAUCAUGUGGUCACACUGAGCAUAGACUUCACAAGCAUCAUGCUAGGAUUCCAUUUUCUUUCUCAACACAAUGAUAAAUUCUUCUUCCAAUAAGCAGAAAAUCAUCCAAUGGGAAAAAAAAAUAAAACCAACUAACUUGCAGUCCUUUGGAACAGUUUCAUAGCUUACAGGAUGGCUUCAUAACCCUGGGGACACUCGUUUUGACAUGAAAACUUCCUUCAGAACAGGAAUUCUGAUCCAACAUGUGCUCAGACAUCAUUUCAGUCACUUGCAAAUGAACAAGAAAGCUCAUGUAAAUGAGGAGGCUCAACUCCCAGGCCUGGUGAGUGGGUAAGACAUUCCUCUGCUGGGUUUUGAAGGCUGUCUGAAACCAUCGGCUGACAUCCUUCUCUGUGUGCAUGUAUGCACUAUCUACGGGAAAUUCAGCUCCAACCGGUUGUCUCUACAGCUCCCUUAAUCUUCUCCUCCCUCCUCCUGGCAUUGGCAUGUGUCCCAGGACUGCAGCGAGGAGUGCUUACCAACAAAGGUGCUGGCAUCUGCAUUUGUUUCACAGCCACAAACCUAAUGGUUCCAUGAUUUUGGCGAGCAAAACUGUCAAAAUGCCUGAGCACAAGAGAUCACAAGAUGAGCCAAGGCAUAGUGUGCAUGCCUUCCUUCCCAGCACUCGGAAGGCAGAGGCAAGGGGAUCUCUGUGGGUUCAAGGCCAGCCUGAAUCACAAGGUGUACUGGGGAUUCUUUUUUAUUGUUUUCCUUUUGCUAUCUGGAAUAGUUUGAGAUUGUAUUUGAUCAGUGCAUUAAACAAC
rnacentral:lncRNA from 1 species